rnacentral:rRNA from 1 species
UACGGAGGGUGCAAGCGUUGUCCGGAAUUACUGGGCGUAAAGCGCGUGUAGGCGGUCUGAAUAGUCUGCUGUGAAAGCGCCUGGCUUAACCGGGCGAGGUCGGCGGAAACUCUCAGACUGGAGGCCGGUAGAGGGGGGUGGAAUUCCCGGUGUAGUGGUGAAAUGCGUAGAGAUCGGGAGGAACACCUGUGGCGAAGGCGGCCCCCUGGGCCGCGCCUGACGCUGAGACGCGAAGGCUAGGGGAGCGAACGGG